rnacentral:rRNA from 1 species
UACGUAGGGUCCGAGCGUUGUCCGGAAUUAUUGGGCGUAAAGGGCUCGUAGGCGGUUUGUCGCGUCGGGAGUGAAAACACGGGGCUUAACCCCGUGCCUGCUUCCGAUACGGGCAGACUAGAGGUAUGCAGGGGAGAACGGAAUUCCUGGUGUAGCGGUGAAAUGCGCAGAUAUCAGGAGGAACACCGGUGGCGAAGGCAGGUCUCUGGGCCACUACUGACGCUGAGAAGCGAAAGCGUGGGGAGCGAACAGG